CGUAGAACGAGAUGUGAGCCAAGACGUUGUAAAAAGAGAUUAAAUUAGUAUUUUCCUUGUCAAAUAAAUAAAUACAUACAUACAUACAUAAAUAAUACAGUCCACACAACAGUGGUUAUUGUUUGAUCAAAAUCACUUGAGUAGUCGUUGGCUAUUGGUAGAUGUAUUGGUUCAUGUCCCGUCCAUAGACCGUAUAAAAACAGGUCCCGUCCCAUACUUGGUAUUAUUAACCAUAGACUGUAAAAAUAUAUAUUGCAUCCAGCCACCAGAUGGCGACCGAAAUGGCUUCACUGCACACUUGAGUAGAGUAGUAGAGGACUCGUACUAAACUAUGCAAUCGUUAGCUACUACUAUAAGCGCCACCCGUAGUCGAUAUAGCCAACCUUUUUUUCCUGAUAUACGGGAGCGAUCUCCUCGCAAACUAAGUCAGAGCGUAUGUGGCACUGUUGAGCUCAGAAACAGGGAGGAGACUAUAGACAUCUACAGUCAACUGAACUCAACUCAUGUCAGCGCGAAAUGCUGUCAACAGGUAUCUCGUGGAUCCUCCUGCUGAUUCCCUUGAGCACAGCCAAUAGAGGUUUCACAAAGUGUAAGGGUGAUCACACUACAUUGUCCUGUCUGGACCCAAAGAAUCAUAUCGAGGGCAAAGUGGAGAUAAAUGCACUUUGGAAAAAAGAUUCUGGUGAAAGAGUGAUCUGGAACUACAACGGAGACCGCAAAAAAGGAGAUACUUUCAUGAACAGGACAGUAGAGUUGAAUGAAGAUUUAUCCCUUUACAUUGAUGGAUGUGAUCAGUCAGAUCAAGGCAUAUAUAUUCUCUGUAUUGAUGGGAAACCGAGCUGUGAAGUUACGCUAUUUGUCAGAGACUCAAAACAAUGCAAACCAAAACCAUCCUCAGAACAAUCAAUUAGAAGCACUGCAUCUUCUAUGGCAAAACAAGCUACCAGAGAUGAAAAACACCUGCAAACUGAAACCAGUCUGCCUAAUACUUACAUCAGAUGGGUUAUUUAUGCCUGUUUGUGUUUGGCUGUGCUUGUGGUCUUAUUGCUGUUUAUCCGUGUUAUCCAUGCAUGCAUCCCAAAAGAGGAAACUAGUAAAAAUGACAAGUCAGGAUCUAAACUGCUCCAUAUAUAUAUAUAGAGUAACUAUGCCGGUGCAUGAUUUUAAAUUUAAUGUGGACACAACAGCAUAUCGUAAGGAUGAACAUCAGAACCGAAACGUUAGAUUUUUCAGAUUUAUGUCAGGACGUCACAUUUUCAUAAUUCUUCUGACGUCAGCAAAGAAAAGUUAUGCCCCAAUAUGCCUGAGCUACAUUUGCCCACCCUUUUUUUUGAUAUGGUGCAAAUUUUCUUUCCCUUACAGUUUGCGUUUGUAUUGUCUUUGCUUGGGGCCCCCAAGGACCAAUGAUGAAAGCAAAGGCAAUACAACUUCAAACAGUAAGGGAAAGAAAGUUUGCACAAUACCAAACAAAAGGGUGGGCAAAUGUAGUUCAGAAAUGUUGCCAAUAUGCAUCCGCUCUUAUAGAGUAGUUGUUAAAAAUAUUGAAACACUAAAUAUCUGCAUAUGUUUAACUUCACGAAUAAUAUUGUUUCUAACUUUCAAAGAAUUAUUAGACACUGUUCUAGCUCUAAAUAGCAAAGAUCAUCUGGAAUUAAUCUGGGUGGAGGCAUAUCUUUUUCCAUUUACUGGAAACUUAUGGAAUCAAGCUGUUUCAUUACAUAUUUAUAUUGUGAAAAUUGUAGAUAAUAAUGAGUGGCUGCUAUACAGCUUUUUUUUAAUAAAGAAAAUAUACAUAAAUCAAAUCCUUGAGUCCAUUUCUUUAAUUAUGAGGCCGUUUGUUGAAACUGAACCUGCUGAAUGAAGACAAGGCUUCACUGUAAAUUCUACAGCAGAAGCAUGUUUUUACUAAUGUUUUUAUAAUUUUGCAAAUGACAUUUAGGUAUUUUUCCCCAUCAGCCUGGAACAAUAAGCAUGAAGUUACCCAGUUGUUCAUUUACAAUGAGUUCAUC
rnacentral:lncRNA from 1 species